CAGUCGCCGCGGUAAUACGUAGGUGGCAAGCGUUGUCCGGAAUUAUUGGGCGUAAAGGGCUCGCAGGCGGUUUCUUAAGUCUGAUGUGAAAGCCCCCGGCUCAACCGGGGAGGGUCAUUGGAAACUGGGAAACUUGAGUGCAGAAGAGGAGAGUGGAAUUCCACGUGUAGCGGUGAAAUGCGUAGAGACGUGGAGGAACACCAGUGGCGAAGGCGACUCUCUGGUCUGUAACUGACGCUGAGGAGCGAAAGCGUGGGGAGCGAACAGGAUUAGAUACCCCGGUAGUCCCUGUCUCUUAUAC
rnacentral:rRNA from 1 species